rnacentral:rRNA from 1 species
AUGGCUGAUAAAUCAACUGCUAUACCCAUCUGUAUUUGCGAGGAUGUGCCUGUUGUAGUUGCAAACGUUACUAUCUUAAUGGACUUUGUUAUUCUUGAUAUUCCCGAGGACGACAGUAUGUCGAUCAUGCUUGGUAGACCCUUUUUGAAUACUCCAGGAGCUGUUAUUGGUUGUAACAAAGGCAAUGUCACUUUUCAUGUUAAUGGGAAUGAGUACACUUCCCGAAGAAACAAUCUCAAGUUCAUAGUAUCAAUUCUAUUGGAAAAAAUUUCAACUCUUACUAUUGGAGGUUUUGAAUUCCCUCUCCCUACUGUCAAAAAGAAUUAUGAUAUUCUAAUUGUUGGGGAAAUGCAUAUCCCUGUUGAGGUAUCCUAG